ensembl:lncRNA
CAAUUCUUCGGCACUCAGCUUUCUUCACAGUCCAACUCUCACAUCCAUACAUGAUCACUGGAAAAACAAUAGCCUUGACUAGAUGGACCUUUGUUGGCAAAGUAAUGUCUCUGCUUUUUAAUAUGCUGUCUAGGUUGGUCAUAACUUUCCUUCCAAGGAGUAAGCGCCUUUUAAUUUCAUGGCUGCAAUCACCAUCUGCAGUGAUUUUGGAGCCCAAAAAGAUAAAGUCGGCCACUGUUUCCACUGUUUCCCCAUCUAUUUCCCAUGAAGUGAUGGGACUGGAUGCCAUGAUCUUCGUUUUCUGAAUGCUGAGCUUUAAGCCAACUUUUUCCCUCUCCUCUUUCACUUUCAUCAAGAGGCUUUUUAGUUCCUCUUCACUUUCUGCUAUAAGGGUGGUGUCAUCUGCAUAUCUGAGGUUAUUGAUAUUUCUCCCGGCAAUCUUGAUUCCAGCUUGUGCUUCUUCCAGUCCAGUGUUUCUCAUAAUGUACUCUUCAUAGAAGUUAAAUAAGUAGGGUGACAAUAUACAGCCUUGACGUACUCCUUUUCCUAUUUUGAAGCAGUCUGUUGUUCCAUGUCCAGUUCUAACUGUUGCUUCCUUACCUGCAUAUAGGUUUCUCAAGAAGCAGGUCAGGUGAUCUGGUAUUCCCAUCUCUUGAACAAUUUUCCACAGUUUCUUGUGAUCCACACAGUCAAAGGCUUUGACAUAGUCAAUAAAGCAGAAAGAGAUGUUUUUCUGGAACUCUCUUGCUUUUUCCAUGAUCCAGCGGAUGUUGGCAAUUUGAUCUCUGGUUCCUCUGCUUUUUCUAAAACCAGCUUGAACAUCUGGAAGUUCAUGGUUCAUGCAUUGCUAAAGCCUGGCUUGAAGAAUUUUGAACAUUUCUUUACUAGCAUGUGAGAUGAGUGCAAUUGUGUGAUAGUUUGAGCAUUCUUUGGCAUUGCUUUUCUUUGGGAUUGGAAUGAAAACUGACAUUUUCCAGUCCUGUGGCCACUGCUGAGUUUUCCAAAUUUGCUGGCAUUUUGAGCGCAGCAUUUUCACAGUAUCAUCUAUUAGGAUUUGAAAUAGCUGAACUGAAAUUUGAUCACCUACACUUGCUUUGUUCAUAGUGAUGCUUUCUAAGGCCCACUUGAUUUCACAUUCUAGGAUGUAUGGCUCUAGGUGAGUGAUCACACCAUCAUGAUUAUCUUGGUCAUGAAGAUGUUUUUUGUACAGUUCUGUGUAUUCUUGCCACCUCUUAAUAUCUUCUGCUUCUGUUAGGUCCAUGACAUUUCUGUCUUUUAUUAGUCCAUGCAUGAAAUGUUCCCUUGGUAUCUUUAAU